GUCCCAAUGACCGGAAGGAAUCCCUUCCGGCCAUCAAGAUUGUAUGGUCCUGAUGACCGGAGGGAAUCCCUUCCGGUCAUCAAUGGUCUCGAUGACUGGAAGGGAUUCCUUCCGGCCAUCGGGACCAUACAAUCUCGAUGGCCGGAAGGGAUUCCUUCCAGUCAUCAGGAC
rnacentral:miRNA from 1 species